rnacentral:lncRNA from 1 species
GAGCAGGAACAGCUCUUAGCCUCAGGGAGCCUGUCGGGCAGUCCUGACGUGGAGGAGUGUGGUGAGCACCAAACCUAGCCCCCACCCCAACCCUUCCUGGCCCAGUCAGAAGCCCCAUUCCAGUUCUUCCUCUAACCUGAGUAAGAUUCUGCAGAACCCGGCCAAAGCCCACUCUCUAGGUUGGCCCCUAAAGCCCUCUUGGCUUGAGUAGGGUUCGGGGAUCUCCGUUCCCAGCUCCCAACACUGGACAGUGCCACCUGUGCCUGCCUCCCUCGGAGCCCUGGGACCAGACCCUGGGAGUGGUCAACUUCCCCAGAAAGGCCAGCCGCAAGCCCCCCAGGGAGGAGAGCUCUGCCACCUGUGUUCUGGAACAGCCUGGGGCCCUUGGGGCCCAAAUUCUGCUGGUGCAGAGGCCCAACUCAGGUCUGCUGGCAGGACUGUGGGAGUUCCCGUCCGUGACCUGGGAGCCCUCAGAGCAGCUUCAGCGCAAGGCCCUGCUGCAGGAACUACAGCGUUGGGCUGGGCCCCUCCCAGCCACGCACCUCCGGCACCUUGGGGAGGUUGUCCACACCUUCUCUCACAUCAAGCUGACAUAUCAAGUAUAUGGGCUGGCCUUGGAAGGGCAGACCCCAGUGACCACCGUACCACCAGGUGCUCGCUGGCUGACGCAGGAGGAAUUUCACACCGCAGCUGUUUCCACCGCCAUGAAAAAGGUUUUCCGUGUGUAUCAGGGCCAACAGCCAGGGACCUGUAUGGGUUCCAAAAGGUCCCAGGUGUCCUCUCCGUGCAGUCGGAAAAAGCCCCGCAUGGGCCAGCAAGUCCUGGAUAAUUUCUUUCGGUCUCACAUCUCCACUGAUGCACACAGCCUCAACAGUGCAGCCCAGUGACACCUCUGAAAGCCCCCAUUCCCUGAGAAUCCU